rnacentral:rRNA from 1 species
GGGGAUUAGUGGCGAACGGGUGAGUAACACGUGGGCAAUCUGCCCUUCACUCUGGGACAAGCCCUGGAAACGGGGUCUAAUACCGGAUACUGACCCUCGCAGGCAUCUGCGAGGUUCGAAAGCUCCGGCGGUGAAGGAUGAGCCCGCGGCCUAUCAGCUUGUUGGUGAGGUAAUGGCUCACCAAGGCGACGACGGGUAGCCGGCCUGAGAGGGCGACCGGCCACACUGGGACUGAGACACGGCCCAGACUCCUACGGGAGGCAGCAGUGGGGAAUAUUGCACAAUGGGCGAAAGCCUGAUGCAGCGACGCCGCGUGAGGGAUGACGGCCUUCGGGUUGUAAACCUCUUUCAGCAGGGAAGAAGCGAAAGUGACGGUACCUGCAGAAGAAGCGCCGGCUAACUACGUGCCAGCAGCCGCGGUAAUACGUAGGGCGCAAGCGUUGUCCGGAAUUAUUGGGCGUAAAGAGCUCGUAGGCGGCUUGUCACGUCGGUUGUGAAAGCCCGGGGCUUAACCCCGGGUCUGCAGUCGAUACGGGCAGGCUAGAGUUCGGUAGGGGAGAUCGGAAUUCCUGGUGUAGCGGUGAAAUGCGCAGAUAUCAGGAGGAACACCGGUGGCGAAGGC